UAUAUAUAUGUCGUUUUGAUUUUUUUUUUCUUUAUUUGAACAUGUAAAAUACAAUACCUUAAGUUUUUUCUUGCAAUUUAUGAACUGCAAGAUAAAUAUAUAUCACCUUUUGUUGUAUGAUCAACAUUGAUAUAACAUUCUAAAGUCACAUGGGGUGAAGAAAGAGACACAAGCUCAGUUUAUCGAUUUUGCUCCUCUUGUUUCCCCAUGGAAAUAUCAGCAUUGCAGUAUCCCCUAAAGGAGGACCUUGAAGCCACAUAGAUUAAGGAAUGAUGACACAAUUUUUAGGCUGAAAUUGAAGAGCACGUGGGGACCAUCAACCCAAGCACGCAGAGCUGAAGGACAACACAAGAAUGUGCUUAGCCACUAGUCUUAUCUACAUCUUUAAUAGCUUCUGAAAUCUCAACUUGUAACUGAUUACAUAUAGUGUUAUGGACUUAUGGUCGAACCUUUUCGGUUAACAUUGGUUCAGUUUUAGUCUAUCAAGACAAUUCUAAAUCAGUAUUUAUGUUAUUGUUUAUUUUUAUGUGUUUCAUUAUUUUCCUAUUUUUUUAUCUAUUGUAGGGCACUGUCAUUUUCUUUCAUGUUGAUAAUUCAAUUAUUCAUUAUUCA